UUUCGGCCCUUAAAAGACUCUCUAGCAGGUCCAAAAGGCUUGAAGCUAGGGUACUGACCAGAACCAGGAGAACAGAGCCCAAACCCCCCUGUAUUCUCCACACUCACUGUGUGUUAAACUUCUGACCUACAAAGCUCUCUAUGUUCAGAAACCACAACCACCAUAACCAUAACCUUUAGUUGUCAGGCCUCUCUCCUCUCGAGUUAUUUACAGUUGAGGUGUUUGACAAAGCUUACAGUUCGAGCUGUGCCAGACCUGGAUCAGCUCUUAGUUAUGCUGCUAUAGGUUUAGAGUGCUAGGGGUACGAGCACAUUGAGCACCUUUCUCUCCAUCCCCUUUCUGUCUGUGUCAUUAACUCUGAAUCAUCAUGUCCUGCUGGAGUCACUAAUUCUCAGUCUUUUCUGAGAGUCCCUGAGCUCCAUCAUCCUGUAGGUUUCUCUGGAUCACUGCUGCAUGCAUUCUGCUGUUGUGGACUUCUCUGCUUAAGGCUGCUUCAGCAACAUGCGUUAAUCUCUCCUCUGUUCAUCUUCCUCUCUCUCUCUCUCUCUUUCUCCAUCUACUUCUAUCAGUCUCUCCUUUGUCCAUCUCUCUCUCAGUCUCUCUCUCUCUCUCUCUCUUUCUCCAUCUACUUCUAUCAGUCUCUCCUUUGUCCAUCUCUCUCUCCUUCAAUCUCUCUCUCUCUCUCCUCUCUAAACCCAGUUUAGUCUCAGCAGAUGACUGUCUAAUAUCAGUCUAGUUCUGCUCGAGGUUUCUGCCUGUUAAAGGAGUUCUUCCUCUCCACUCUAACUCUCUAAAUGCUGUUUCACUCAUGUGGUUGAAGAUGGAUGGGAAAUGAUCUUACAGGAUGGGGCUCAGUCUGAUCCCAUCUUUACGUUGGGUCUUUGUAAACAGAGUAUGGUCUAGUACAGCUUUUCUUUUGUUUAGUGUCUUUGAUAGCACUUGUUAUGAAUUAGCACUAUGUAUUUUUUUUUGUUGCAUGAGGAUAUGAAGCAUUUAAAGCCCUACCUUUAUAAGAUACUAUUUUCACUGUUUAUAACACUUCAACGCCACUGCUGUAAGUUUUGAUGAAUGCCUACAAUCACUUAUAAGGAUUGUAACAAAGCCAUAUAACACAUGUAUAGAUGCAAUAUGCUUAUCAUGCAUUAUAAGUGAUUGGUUGAUAUGAAGUCAGUGUCACAGACUGUUGUAUGACUUUUGGACUCAGCUUAAAGUCCUGUUAUGACAGUGGGUCAUUUAAAUAGUAUUAAUUAUUGUAUUGUUUAUCGUUUUAUUGUGUAGAGAAUAGUUUUGUUUCUUCCCUCCUCUCUUUCUCUGAUUCUCUGAGCUGUACUGCAGAAAAAGGUGCGUCCAGAUUGGACGGCGGCGUAAAGACGCACCAGACGCGCAUUGGAGGACUGCUGUGGAGUGAAGGCGCGUGAUUGGCUGAGAGCAGAUGGGCUGCAUUUUAAACGCGGCUGCAGGAGCAGGGAUGCUGGCUCUCCUUCGUCACUUCCAACAUCUCGCCAGAGCACAGCGUUUCGAGCCAUCGUUCAGUUGAAUUCUAUUGUGUGAUUUUGGAUUGUUGUUAUUAAGGGACCUUAGAGGGUUCUUGUAUUGUUAGAAGCAGUCAGUAUAUGUAGGGGAGAGUUAGCCCUUGUUUUCUCAUGUUUUUGUGUAGGGAGUCAAAUAUAGGUUUGUAUGUCUUUUAUUUUUCUUGUUUCUGUCAGGUAAGGUAUUUUGAUUUAUAAGAGUGUUUUUUUUGUUUUUUUUUGUAAUAGUUUGAUUUUACUUUACCCUACCGUCCCACUUCCGGGACGGAUCGUUUUUUUAAAAUUAUUAUUAUCACUAUUAAAGUUUACGAUAUACCAUUGACGUUUUACAGGGGAUUAAGAAAAAAAUAAACAAACUAGAGACAGAUCGGGUAGCGACAAACACAUCUAAAAUGUUUGACGGAGUUUUCGUUACAAUGGUAACGCUGAUGCGACAACUUCUAUGGACCGUCGUGAACACCGAUCAAUUUAUUUAUUGAAACAUUCAAAUUAACGUGGCAGAAAUGGCUAUCUUGUGUCACACGGAAUCAAAAAGUGUUGCGAUGGAAACCAAAUUUGAAAACAAACGUACCGCUUGUAGGCAAAACAGUUUCAUAGACUGAAAACGUAUGUUUAUAUUGACUUUGGACUAACUACACCAGGAAGAUGUUUAAAAACGAUUUUCAGAGCGGAUUUUUGUCCAUAUUGUACAGCCUCGGCAGCAAACCUCUGAUGAUUUGGGAUAAAAAGGUGAGCAGCAAUUUAGACUGUGAUGGAAAUACAUUCACUUCCUUAGUAAGGUGUGCUAAAUCGCAGUACCUGAAUGCCUCUUGAUAAUGCCAUAUUUAGCCCUCUGAUCAUAUUUCACCGUCUGAUCACAUUUUACUCUGCCGCGGUUUGGUUUGGAGGGUAUGAAAACGCAUUUUUUGUAUGUACCUUGUAUGCCUUUUACAUUGUCAGUGGGAUUAAGAUACAUCGUUUCCACAAAAGAGCACAGUUUUACGUUAGUCUUUAGCUUCUUUUACGGCUUUCCUAAACUGUAAAAGACUCAUUUUCUGGGUAUUUUAAUCUAUUUUAGGAGCCCCUUGUAAGAAUUGCAGAAUAAAAGUCAGGUUGGCGUGGUUGCCAAGCAACCGAUAAGAACUGUUACGCCCUCCUAUAAAUAUGCAGAUUUAUUUAAAUAGGGUCUCCCUGUCCUCGCACACAGACAAAAUGACAAGAAAAACUAAAUCUACGGCGUGCGAGGUGGAGGUUCUGGUGGCGGAGGUGGAGGAGCGACAGUGUGUUUUGUUUGGCAGCCUGUCCAGUGGCGUCAGUGCAAAACGAAAACACUUGGAGUGGGAGAAAGUUUGCGAGAGGGUGAACGCGGUGGGUUCCGAGACACGCACCCCUGCGGAGAUUAAAAAAAAGUGCUCGUACCUCAAGGUGGAGGUCAAGCGGCAUACAGCUGCCCUCCGGAGGAGUACCGGCCAGACAGGUGGGGUUCCGGGGGAGGAGACCCUCACGCCGUUUGAGCAGCGGGUGGUGGCGAUUAUUAUUAUAGGGUAAGUAGCGUGUCACACAAAUGUCCACAUGCUUUGCCAUCCCACUGAGCAAAAGACGUAUAUUAGACGUCUAGUCUAAGUUUAUACUUCAUUUCAACGUCGGGAUUCAGUCUAUUUUUAGACGUGAUUUAUACUUUGCCCUUAACUUCAUUUUUCGAUAACUUUUUAUGCAAUAAACAACUGUAAUGUGCAUAACUGACCUCUAAAUACUGUAUUACAUUACCUAUGAUACCGUGGAGAGAGAUGUAAACGCAACAGAUACACAGAAGCAGGAAUUGAAAUGAACCAAUAUUGUUAAUUGUUAAUAGUGUUUUAUUAUUGUUUUAUAUGUUCUGUAAAGUGUCCUUGAGUGACGUGAAAGGCGCUUCAAAUAAAAUGUAUUACUGUUAUUAUUAUUACUCCUCGCCUAACAUUUCAAAUGUCUUAUUUCCUGCCUCCACAUCCAUAUUUAAAUUACAGCAACAUGAUUUCUGAGUUCCUGCUCUCCCAUUUCUUGCUAUUAUUUUGGCUGAUAAACAUACUAAUGCAUCAGUGCAAAAACUCACCUGACAACUGUCCUUUGAUGAAGAGAUACUAAAGGAUUCCUCCAUAUGAUUUCUUUUGGUCACAGGUGCGGAAUGGUUCCAUCCAGAGAGCCAUGGACGAUGACCUUCACUCACAGGUGUUGGAAGUCAAAGGGCAAAAUGUCUGGUGAGUAUGUGUGUCAGUUAAACUGACUCUCCAGCUCUCUCUCACCUCAUUCAUUCAUCUUCUUUUUUGUUCUAUGUAUCACCCUUCUAGAUCCACGCUAACAUCCUAAUACAGAGAGUGUAUUUUUGUGACUGUAUUCUGAGGAUGAGCUCCCAGCAGAGUUUAAACUCUCUCAUCCUGUCCAAAACCCAAAACCAAAGGUGAA